rnacentral:rRNA from 1 species
CUAUAAUGCAGUCGAGCGAACGGACGAGAGUGCUUGCACUCUCCGAGGUUAGCGGCGGACGGGUGAGUAACACGUGGGUAACCUACCUAUAAGACUGGGAUAACUUCGGGAAACCGGAGCUAAUACCGGAUAAUAUUUAGCUUCGCAUGAAGCAAUAGUGAAAGACGGUUCUACUGUCACUUAUAGAUGGACCCGCGGUGUAUUAGCUAGUUGGUGAGGUAACGGCUCACCAAGGCAACGAUACAUAGCCGACCUGAGAGGGUGAUCGGCCACACUGGGACUGAGACACGGCCCAGACUCCUACGGGAGGCAGCAGUAGGGAAUCUUCCGCAAUGGACGAAAGUCUGACGGAGCAACGCCGCGUGAGUGAAGAAGGUUUUCGGAUCGUAAAACUCUGUUGUAAGGGAAGAACAAGUACGUUAGUAACUGAACGUACCUUGACGGUACCUUACCAGAAAGCCACGGCUAACUACGUGCCAGCAGCCGCGGUAAUACGUAGGUGGCAAGCGUUAUCCGGAAUUAUUGGGCGUAAAGCGCGCGUAGGCGGUCUCUUAAGCCUGAUGUGAAAGCCCCCGGCUCAACCGGGGAGGGUCAUUGGAAACUGGGAGACUUGAGUGCAGAAGAGGAGAGUGGAAUUCCAUGUGUAGCGGUGAAAUGCGCAGAGAUAUGGAGGAACACCAGUGGCGAAGGCGGCUCUCUGGUCUGUAACUGACGCUGAGGUGCGAAAGCGUGGGGAUCAAACAGGAUUAGAUACCCUGGUAGUCCACGCCGUAAACGAUGAGUGCUAAGUGUUG